rnacentral:rRNA from 14 species
CCUAAGGCGAGGCCGAAAGGCGUAGUCGAUGGGAACCAGGUUAAUAUUCCUGGGCCAGAUGGAAGUGACGGAUCUCAAAGGUUGUUCGUUCUUAUCGGAUUGAACGGGCCGCUCAGAGGUUCCUGGAAAUAGCUCCAUCAUGAGAUCGUACCCUAAACCGACACAGGUGGACUGGUAGAGAAUACCAAGGCGCUUGAGAGAACGAUGUUGAAGGAACUCGGCAAAAUACCUCCGUAAGUUCGCGAGAAGGAGGCCCGGUACACGACUACCGGGGGCACAAACCAGGGGGUGGCGACUGUUUAUUAAAAACACAGGGCUCUGCGAAGUCGCAAGACGACGUAUAGGGUCUGACGCCUGCCCGGUGCCUGAAGGUUAAAAGGAGGGGUGCAAGCUCCGAAUUGAAGCCCAGGUAAACGGCGGCCGUAACGAUAACGGUCCUAAGGUAGCGAAAUUCCUUGUCGGGUAAGUUCCGACCUGCACGAAUGGCGUAACGAUGGGGGCGCUGUCUCUACCCGAGACUCAGUGAAAUCGAAAUCGCCGUGAAGAUGCGGUGUAUCCGCGGCUAGACGGAAAGACCCCGUGAACCUUUACUACAGCUUGGCACUGAACAUUGACCCUACAUGUGUAGGAUAGGUGGGAGGCUUUGAAGCGUUGUCG